UACGGAGGGUGCAAACGUUGCUCGGAAUCAUUGGGCGUAAAGCGCACGUAGGCGGUCCUUUAAGUCGGGUGUGAAAGCCCUCGGCUCAACCGAGGAAGUGCAUUCGAAACUGGGGGACUUGAAUACUGGAGAGGAUGGCGGAAUUCCCGGUGUAGAGGUGAAAUUCGUAGAUAUCAGGAGGAACACCAGCGGCGAAGGCGGCCAUCUGGACAGAUAUUGACGCUGAGGUGCGAAAGCGUGGGGAGCAAACAGG
rnacentral:rRNA from 1 species